UACGUAGGGGGCAAGCGUUGUCCGGAAUUAUUGGGCGUAAAGAGCUCGUAGGCGGCCUGUUGCGUCCGCUGUGAAAUCCCGGGGCUUAACCCCGGGCGUGCAGUGGAUACGGGCUGGCUGGAGGCAGGCAGGGGAGAACGGAAUUCCCGGUGUAGCGGUGAAAUGCGCAGAUAUCGGGAGGAACACCGGUGGCGAAGGCGGUUCUCUGGGCCUGUUCUGACGCUGAGGAGCGAAAGCGUGGGGAGCAAACGGG
rnacentral:rRNA from 1 species